rnacentral:rRNA from 1 species
GUGAGGAAUAUUGGUCAAUGGACGCAAGCCUGAUCCAGCCAUGCCGCGUGCAGGAAGACGCAUCUAUGGUGUGUAAACUGCUUUUGUACGGGAAGAAACACUCCCUCGUGAGGGAGCUUGACGGUACCGUAAGAAUAAGGAUCGGCUAACUCCGUGCCAGCAGCCGCGGUAAUACGGAGGAUCCAAGCGUUAUCCGGAAUCAUUGGGUUUAAAGGGUCCGUAGGCGGUUUAAUAAGUCAGUGGUGAAAGCCCAUCGCUCAACGAUGGAACGGCCAUUGAUACUGUUAGACUUGAAUUACAAGGAAGUAACUAGAAUAUGUAGUGUAGCGGUGAAAUGCUUAGAUAUUACAUGGAAUACCAAUUGCGAAGGCAGGUUACUACUUGUGGAUUGACGCUGAUGGACGAAAGCGUGGGGAGCGAACAGGAUUAGAAACCCCUGUAGUCC